GACGAACGCUGGCGGCGUGCUUAACACAUGCAAGUCGAACGGAAGGGCCCUGCUUUUGUGGGGUGCUAGAGUGGCGAACGGGUGAGUAACCUGUGAGUAACCUGCCCUGUGCUUUGGGAUAACUUCAGGAAACUGGGGAUAAUACCGGCUAGGAGCUCCUGCUGCUUGGUGGGGGUUGGAAAGUUUCGGCGGUUGGGGAUGGACUUGGGGCUUAUUAGCUUGUUGGUGGGGUAGUGGCUUACGAAGGCAUUGGUUGGUGGCCGGCCUGAGAGGGGGACCGGGCACAUGAGGACUGAGAUACGGCCCAGAGGCGUACGGUGGGCAGCGGUGGGAAAUAUGGCACAAUGGUCGGACGCGUGAUGCGGCAACGCCGCGUUCGUGAUGACGGCCUUCGGGUUGGAAACCGCUUUCACCUGAUACGAUGCUUUAGUGACGGUAAUGGGUAAAGAAGCACCGGCUAACUACGUG
rnacentral:rRNA from 1 species